GAAGAUUGCCCUCCUCUUCCAAUUUAUGAAAAUGCCAAUGGUCGCUGAGGGAACUUUCUUCCGCAUUCAAGACGCUUAUAGCAUUGCCCCGGUCCAGGAAUGUUGGGAAAAAAACAGGCCGGACAUUCUACAUCGGUUGCGUCAGAAAGAAUAUGUCGUUGUCCUAGGUAAGGUGUUGGUGUUGUCAACCACCAUUACAUUUUUAUGCUUGUAGUUAGCUGUGAUGGUGUAUAACCUGUGAUUCUAAUGAAUGUAUUUUUGCUCUAUUCACUAGGUGAUGGCAGAAUGGACUCUCCAGGUACUGUGUGUGAGCAAAAGAUGCAUACAGUCCACAUGCUGACUGCUAGACUGUGAACUGAAACUUUUUUUUCUUUUUGCUACAGGGCACUGUGCACAAUACUGCACUUACACAACUCUUGAGCAAGAGUCAAGAGAAAUCGUGCACAUUGUCACAGUAGACAAGUGUGAAACGAACAUGAAUUCUGUGAUUAUGGAGAAGGUAUGUUUCAUUAGGAUGGAUGCACUAAUCCAGGAAAUUCAUAUCACAGAAGUUGUCACGGAUGCCCACCCACAAAUCUCCGCCUUGCUUAGUAAGGAAAACUCAUUGGAUGUGUUGUCUGGAGCCAUGGCUUUUUCUAUUUUCUUCUGGUAAUUGUGUUAUUACAAUGGUUAUGUUGUUUGUUACAGAUCCAGAGCGUGGAAGAUAUGAAGACAUUCACCACUCUCUUGACAUAUGGCAUGCCGCCCAAAAUCUUGGAAAGAAGUUACGACGGGCUGGCACCAUAAAAAUCAGAAUCCAAUUCUGGCCUGGAUGAAGGACAUUGUGAACCACUUUUGGUAUUGCUGCAAACAAGUGUUGACCGAGGAGCAGUUCAAGAUGAUGUGGCAUGGAGUCCUACACCAUGUCCGCAACCAACAUUCAUUGGCAACUGGAUGCUGUGAACAUGAGCCCCUGGAUGAAGGCAGCCAAAACAAGCCAUGGAUCCAGCAAGGACUACAUCUGAUUUGGAAAGUUUCCAAAAUCAUAUACUGAUGUAUGCGGCGAAGCGGUUCGCCUACAGCCCACCUAUAUACUGUACAGGACACGAACUUUGCUUGCUGCAUUGGAUUACAAUAACCACAAUCAUCACCUGCCAGCCCGUAACAAGGAUGGACACAAAAUCUAAAUACAGAAGAUACUUAAAUAAAAAAUCCAAAAGCUGGAGUGUCUACACCACAAAGGAGAAAAAGCAGUACAGCUACAUACAAGACCUCCAGAAGGCCAUUCUUGGGAGAAGAAUUGCAAGUGGGAGAGGCCUCCCCGCAAACAGACGCUCAGGUCUGACAACCCAAGGCGCUUGGGUUUGCUUGCUGCUGUACCGCCACCACCCACUGUGGAACUUGUGCAGGCCCAGGUUGCAAGAGGAGACAUUCCUCCGCAGUGACCUUUCUACUGUGAUCCUGUCCUAAAGUUGCAAUAAAUUAUGUGAAAUAUUGAACUUUUCUGAAAAUGACUUUAUUAUUUACAUGCAGAUAAAUAAAAAGUUAAACUAAAUAAAACAGCAGUAAAGUGCAAAAUUGCAGAAGUAACAGGGGACAAAACAUACAAUUGACAUUCAAAAAUGUUCCAUCCAUAAGGUGCUGUUUAAAAAUUGCUGAAUAACUAUUUACAUU
rnacentral:lncRNA from 15 species